rnacentral:rRNA from 1 species
GCUUAUCUGCAGUCGAGGGGGCAGCGCAGUGUAGCAAUACAUGGGCGGCGACCGGCAAACGGGUGCGGAACACGUACGCAACCUUCCUUCAAGCGGGGAAUAGCUUUCGGAAACGAAAAUUAAUACCCCAUAGUAAUAUCUGAGGGCAUCUGAGGAUAUUUAAAGAUUUAUCACUUGAAGAUGGGCGUGCGCCUGAUUAGGUAGUUGGCGGGGUAACGGCCCACCAAGCCUACGAUCAGUAACUGGUGUGAGAGCACGACCAGUCACACGGGCACUGAGACACGGGCCCGACUCCUACGGGAGGCAGCAGUAAGGAAUAUUGGUCAAUGGACGCAAGUCUGAACCAGCCAUGCCGCGUGGAGGAUGAAGGUCCUCUGGAUUGUAAACUUCUUUUAUCGGAGAAGAAACCCCCGAGUUCUCUUGGGGUUGACGGUACCCGAUGAAUAAGCACCGGCUAACUCCGUGCCAGCAGCCGCGGUAAUACGGAGGGUGCAAGCGUUAUCCGGAUUCACUGGGUUUAAAGGGAGCGUAGGUGGGCUGGUAAGUCAGUGGUGAAAUCUCCGGGCUUAACUCGGAAACUGCCGUUGAUACUAUCAGUCUUGAAUGUUGUGGAGGUAAGCGGAAUAUGUCAUGUAGCGGUGAAAUGCUUAGAUAUGACAUAGAACACCGAUAGCGAAGGCAGCUUGCUACACAAUUAUUGACACUGAGGCUCGAAAGCGUGGGGAUCAAACAGGAUUAGAUACCCUGGUAGUCCACGCCCUAAACGAUGGAUACUCGACAUACGCGAUACACAGUGUGUGUCUGAGCGAAAGCAUUAAGUAUCCCACCUGGGAAGUACGACCGCAAGGUUG